UAACAAUGAAUAUGGACAGCUUGGAACUGGAGAUACCCAGCGUAGAUCACAACCUAUUCCUGUCCAGGGUCUUUCUGGUCUUACUUUGAUUUUGGUUCGGCAGAUUUGGGAGCAUGUGAUGUAUUGGUGUGAAAAAUGUGCAUAGGCUUAAGGCAGAAGUGGGGCAUCUAUAGAGGUGAACUUAUGUGGCAGUUAGUUGGGCUUGCUGAUACAGACCUGGGUUUCCUUUGACACAUACCUUUAGCGAUAGAAACAUUUAAAACUGCAUGUAUGAUAUCUUG